ensembl:snoRNA
GUGCCCCCUUUCACUUUGCCAAUUGGACUUAUGUCUUUAUUGGCCAUUCAAGUGGGGCAAAGGAAAAACCCUUUAAAACCCAGGCAAACUUAGUGUUUUUCUUGUAACCUGUCAGGGGAAACAUUG